CCCCAAAUAUCAUACUUCCUUGCAAUCUUCAUACCAUGAUAAAUACCCCAAAUUUCAGCCUCAUCAAUUGACAAACAUUCCCCAGGCUUAAUUAACCGAAAACCCAAGCACGAAUCUAUCACGGUAGUCUCUGAAUAUACCUCCGCAUGCAGCAGUACCUGAAGAGGGAUCAUAGGCACCCCUCACAUUUAGCCUCAACAACCAAUCCGUAUGUGAAAGUGACAAAGGCCUCCUCCAGUUCAAGAGAUUCCUCGUCAUCAAAUUUUGAGAAGCAUGGGCUCUCAUAUAAUCUUUAUAACGCUUAAAGACAAUAUCUAU
rnacentral:lncRNA from 1 species